GGAAAGUGGAAAGUUACAGUUCAGUCUCCCUUAGGAAGAGGAAACAGCAAAAACCCUGCAGGAGAACUUCUUGAACCAAACGCAACAGAAUAGAAAAGGAAUGCAGGAUAACCCAGUUAAUGGAGAACAUCCGGGGUCAAGCAUGAACUGCACUGUGUUGUCUUUAUGAAAGAGAAACAAAAACUCAGGACCCCAAUUCACUGUGACAGAAGGAAAAAAAAAAACUGGAAGCUGAGUCAUGCAAGAAACUGCCUUUCCUUUUGUUCCUAAGCAGACAGCUACAGAGAAACGGCUAAGUAUUUCCUUAGGAAGCCUUUACACCCAGGCAGCUCAGCGUCCAGAGCUGGUUCCACUCAUCCCCUUCAAGGAGAGGAAAACUGAGCCCUGGGAAGGAGAAGUAAAGCUGGAGUCACAAAGCCAGGAAAUGGUGGCCAGGGGCACGACCCAGGCCUUAUAAACAACCUGCACUCUUCCCCCUGCAACACAGCCUGCUGAGGACGCUCAUCAGUCAUCUCAGUGGUUCACUUCCAAUCUCCUCAUCUGCCAAGCACCCAGCAUGUUCCAGCAAAGACAAAUUAUUCCUAUGGCAAACUGACCUGCAUGCAGUUUACAGGACUUUAUGUUAUAAAGAGGAGGGAUCUAUGGCACUUAAUGAAAAGUUACACUUAAAGAUUUUCAUAGGCCUGGCUGGGUGUGGUGUCUCAUGCCUGUAAUCCCAGCACUUUGGGAGGCAGAGGCGGGUGGAUCACCUGAGGUCAGGAGUUUGAGACCAGCCUGGCCAACAUGGUGAAACCCUGUCUCUACUAAAAAUACAAAACUUAGCCGGGCAUGAUGGCAUGUGCCUGUAAUCCCAGCUACUCGGCUGGGGCAGGAGAAUGGCUUGAACCCGGGGGGCGGAGGUUGCAGUGAGCUGAGAUUGUGCCAUUGCACUCCAGCCUGGGCGACAGAGUGAGACUCCAUCUCAAAAAUAAAAGAAAGGAUCUUUACAGGCCUUCGUGUACUGACCAGAGGAGCAAAAAUGAAUAAAAGGAUUACAACAUGAGGCUGGCAUUGCUGUGCACCUAUAUCCUUGAGUGCUGGUGGCCCCAUGGAUUAGAUCAACACCUUGAAAGCUAAUUUGACACUAGACCAACAAAGUCCUUUGACCUGGAGUUCCACUUUGGCAAAAAAUAAUAAUAAAUAAAUAAAUAAAAUCCCUAAAGUGUAUAAAGAGAAAGGAAGUUGUGAUAUUUGGAAAUUCUGGGCUUUGAGUAAAGAGAGUGAUAUUCUAGACCUGCUAUCAUUUCACUAUUACCUGAACAAUUUACUUCCUCUUUCUAGCCUUCCAUCUCUUCCUGCAAAAUAAGGCAUGGUUUUCAAUCACUUCACCACACAGGAAAAGGAAAUAGAAAUAGAAAUAAAUAAAGUCCACUCCAGGAGCAGUGGCUCACGCCUGCCA
rnacentral:lncRNA from 1 species